GUUUCAAUUCCUCAUAGGCACUCUAAAAAC
rfam:Deferribacter desulfuricans SSM1 DNA, complete genome.